CCUCCGUCGACCACAACACCACACAGUCUAGGUGUGACCACAACACCACACACCACACACCUCGUCGGAGAGACCAAGAGAUGAUGGCGGCAGCUACGGCCGCGCUAUUCUCCCACCCUUUCUUUCCUCCACGACCCUCCGAUGGCUGCUUGCUCCUCUUCUGCCCUUCCUACCUCCGGGCUUCUCCUCUCCACCGGCGCCGUGGCGCCGCCGUCCGCUUCGUGCUCAAGGAGGUGGGCACGGAGCCGGAGAAGAAUGAUGGUGCGGCUGAUAGGCCGAUCAAGAUCCGGCUGUCGGUGGCAGAGAGAACGGCGAUGAAGCAGGCGGAGCGGCGGACCUACCUCGUCGCGGCGGUGAUGUCUACCCUCGCCAUCACAUCCACGGCGGUCGCGGCCGUCUACUACCGCUUCUACUGGCAAAUGGAGGGCGGAGAGGUUCCUCUGUCGGAGGCGUUCGGCACGUUCGCCCUCUCGGUCGGCGCAUCGGUGGGGAUGGAAUUGUGGGCGCGGUGGGCACACCGGGGGCUGUGGCACGCCUCGCUGUGGCCGAUGCACGAGUCGCACCACCGUCCGCGCGACGGGCCCUUCGAGCUCAACGACGUAUUCGCCAUCGUCAACGCCGUCCCAGCCAUCUCUCUCUUGGCCUACGGCUUCCUCAACCGCGGCCUCCUCCCCGGCCUCUGCUUCGGCGCCCUAAUCAAAUCCCACAGGGCCUCGGGAUUACGCUCUUCGGCAUCGCCUACAUGUUCGUCCACGACGGCUUGGUUCACCGCCGUUUCCCGGUCGGUCCCAUAGCCAACGUUCCCUACUUCCAGCGAGUAGCCGCCGCCCAUCAGAUCCACCACAUGGACAAGUUCGACGGCGUGCCCUACGGCCUGUUCUUGGGACCAAAGGAACUGGAGGAAGUGGGAGGCGUGGAGGAGCUGGAGAAGGAAGUCGCCCGAAGAACCAAACUCCACAGCGACAGCGAACCCAGCAGCUGAGAUUCUCUGUGUGUGUGUGUGUUUUUUUUCUCCUUAAAAUGAUCUGAUCUGGAUGAUCUACAAAGGGAGCAGGAAAUUUUUUGAAACUGAGCUUUUAAUUAAUGAUUUUGAUAAAUUUGUGGAAGACUGAAGAUAAUCAAAUAGGUUUUUGAUAAUGUAAAUGUACAGUCCUUUGCGAUGGCAAAAAGAUGAAUACGUUUGUCUUCA